CGACACAGGCCACAGAUAGUUUUACAGUCAUUCCUCACAACAGUAAACCAUUCUGCCUCACGAUACAUAUAAUGUUUACUCUGUAGGGGCCCAGCGCAUGCGUCGUCGUACGUAGUCGACGUACCUGCACUGGUCCACCACUUCAUCUGACAUUCGCUACUGCGCCUGCGCCGGAAUGCGCCACUGGACGAUGAAUUAUUUUAUAUGUACCUGCACCCUGCACGUUAAACUAAUACAAUUUCUAUUCCAAUUGACAUGUCUGAGGACUCAUUAUACGUGCACGGUGAUACUUAACAAUUGAGCAAUUAAAAUUGAUUUCAGUAUGGUUUAAAAGAAUAAAUCGCCAUUAAAGUUUUUGGCUGUUUUGUUCAAAGAAAAGAUAUGCAUACAUCUGUAUGUACGUAUGGAGUAGAAGCGUCGUGCACCAUUCAACUACUUGGCGUGAGACGCUAUCGUGUCUCUUGAUCCUUCAAAAUUAUUAGACAAAAAUUACAACUUUUAUCUUUAAUAGUUUCGUUGAUGUAAAUUCAAACGUAAAGAUAGUUUUUGUAGAAAUCAGCAAAAUUUUGAAAUAAAAUGUUAUGAUAAAUUGCACAAAAUCCAACUAGACCUGUUGCAUCACUAUGAAUACUAGCGCAAGAAAAUGUAAAAUUUUAAAAAUUGUAUAGUAAAUAAAAUGUAUUGGAAAUGGUAGCAUUUAACAUUGGUUGGUAAAAUACAAAUAUUCUUCGCUGUUGUAUAUGAACUUUAAGGGAAAGUCACGAGUCUAGGGAAGCAACAAGAUAUUCGUAGGGUAUGAAGCAGGGACAAGAAACCACUUAGACGUUGGACAUUGUCAACAGCAAUUGUCGGAAUUUAGAAAAUGUAAGAUCUUAAAAAUUAAAUGUAUGUUAGCUUAUCUAACAGAUGCUGAAAUAUACAAAAAUUAGGAAAGUA